AUUGAACGCUGGCGGCAUGCUUUACACAUGCAAGUCGAACGGCAGCGCGGGCUUCGGCCUGGCGGCGAGUGGCGAACGGGUGAGUAAUGCAUCGGAACGUGCCCAGUAGUGGGGGAUAGCCCGGCGAAAGCCGGAUUAAUACCGCAUACGACCUGAGGGUGAAAGCGGGGGACCGAAAGGCCUCGCGCUAUUGGAGCGGCCGAUGUCGGAUUAGCUAGUUGGUGGGGUAAAGGCUUACCAAGGCGACGAUCCGUAGCUGGUCUGAGAGGACGACCAGCCACACUGGGACUGAGACACGGCCCAGACUCCUACGGGAGGCAGCAGUGGGGAAUUUUGGACAAUGGGGGCAACCUUGAUCCAGCUAUGCCGCGUGCGGGAAGAAGGCCUUCGGGUUGUAAACCGCUUUUGUUCGGGAAGAAAUCCUCUGGGCUAAUACCCCGGGGGGAUGACGGUACCGGAAGAAUAAGCACCGGCUAACUACGUG
rnacentral:rRNA from 1 species